CCUACGGGUGGCAGCAGUGGGGAAUAUUGCACAAUGGGGGAAACCCUGAUGCAGCGACGCCGCGUGCGUGAAGACGUAAUUCGUUAUGUAAAGCUCUAUCAGCAGGGAAGAAAAUGACGGUACCUGAGUAAGAAGCCCUGGCUAACUACGUGCCAGCAGCCGCGUUAUUACGUAGGGGGCAAGCGUUAUCCGGAUUUACUGGGUGUAAAGGGAGCGUAGACGGCAGUGUAAGUCUGGAGUGAAAGGCGGGGGCUCAACCCCCGGACUGCUGUGGAAACUGGACGGCUGGAGUGCAGAAGGGGUAGGUGGAAUUCAUGGUGUAGCGGUGAAAUGCGUAGAUAUUAGGAGGAACACCAGUGGCGAAGGCGGCUGACUGGACUGUAACUGACGUUGAGGCUCGAAAGCGUGGGGAGCAAACAGGAUUAGAUACCCGAGUAGUC
rnacentral:rRNA from 1 species